CAGGCCUGACGAGUGCUUGCGCAUUGCGCAUGCCAUUUCUUUCUGACAGGAAUCAUUCCGCCACAAGCGAACGAGCCUGGGCUGGCCUUGUGGAAGCCUAGCCGAGGCCUCAGAAUAUGGAUGAGAUCAUCUGAGACCAUCCACCCCAGGAAGCCAGCAAAGUGGCUAGAACCCGCCAUACCACCGCAGAAUCACGAUUGCUGUUCUGAGUCACUACAUUUCAGGUGACUUGUUGAGCAGCAAACGAGCUGACGAACCUAAAGUCAGAAGAUGCUAGCGGAAGAAACAGGACCCAGAACUCCAUUGGAAAAUGGGGUAUACAGACUUCGAGGAUGCCAGACAAAAAGAUCAUUUGAAAUAUUGUUGUCACUAAGCCUUCUUUGAUCAAGACACCAUGAGCUCAUGACAAACGCCUCAAUUUCCUUCUUCUGUAAAUAAAUUAAUACCUGGUGAGAUGUAAAAGCCCACUUGAACGGAAAACAACAUGUUUGAUGAAAUUCUGAGAGAAGAUACAACCCAAGAUAAAAAGAGAGGGGAGAGUGGAGUAAAGAACUGCCUAACCUAAUGUAAGUUUUCAGCUUUCAAUAAAUAUUUCCAG
rnacentral:lncRNA from 1 species